rnacentral:lncRNA from 1 species
CCGAAUGUUUCCAGUUUCAUCUUAAUCAGGUGCUCCUGACGGAGCCGUGAAUAAGAAAAGUAGAUGGAGAACAGUUCUUGUGAGAAAUUUGGUCGCUUUACUAUGAGCAUAUGUACGGUGUAUGUCAAGGGGCAAGACAGUGUUCAAAGCAGAGUGAAUCUGGAGCAGUUCAGAGUAACUCUGAGCAACUCUGAGGAAUUUGAGAUUCGAAAUUCCCACCCUUGAAUCAUCUUGAUUUUGGCAAAGCAGUUCAAAUAAAAAAAAAAGAAUAACAACCCAAACUCAGUCUGACGUAUCGAAACAGCGAUAAAUAAUGAAGAUGAAAAGUUUUGAAGUAAUAACUGAUUGUAAAGAAAAUUUUCUUAGCCGCAUAUAGCAAUGGAUUCAGUGUGAAAAACAUGCUAUUUGCAACUAUCAAACGGUUAUCCUGCCGCAUCUACGCCUACGCGGUGACAAGCCUGAAGAUUAAAUCCAGCAAGGACAAUAUUCGCCCGAGAAAGACACAAGACCGAUCGUCAUGAAGGACAAAACUGCAAAUGAGAUGAAUCUUCAGUGCCGGGAAGAAAAAUGUCUGUUCGAAGGCAAAUGGGGCCGUUCACAAUCCGGGCUAGAAGCAGGAACUACUUCCUGUCGGAGACUUAAUUCAGUUUCUAUGACGAGUCUGUAUUUGAAUAUACCGUAUUCAUACCGAGAAUAAAAUGUAAAUUGAAAUAGUUUUCAUGUACUUUUAUUAUCAUCAUGGAACUCAUAACGGAGAAGGCACGCGAUGAAAGAUAGUUCAUUAUCAUUAGGAUGGUUUAUGGUUUAUGAUACUCUUCUCAGACUGUGAUUUUCUUCGACGCAGCAUACGCAUUGUCCUGCCGAAAAAAUGCUGGCGGUUCGGCUACAUCAACUGUUUGUGAUCAAUUCAUAUAUAAUUACAACGUAAACUUUUAGCUUACAUGUAAUGGCCAAUUAAAUAGUACAAAAUAGAUCAACUUAACGUUGAUCGAAAUUAAACAUACACAACCAUGGUCAAUUUGAAGAGUGACAGAAUUUGAUUUGGUCUGAUUAUGUCUGAGACAAACUGAAGCAUUCUGAGCAAUCCUGAGUAACUCACGUGUCUUCUGAGGAAUACCCGUUUUGAUUUUGCAUAUAGGUCGCUUUACUAUGAGCAUAUGUACGGUGUAUGUCAAGGGGCAAGACAGUGUUCAAAGCAGAGUGAAUCUGGAGCAGUUCAGAGUAACUCUGAGCAACUCUGAGGAAUUUGAGAUUCGAAAUUCCCACCCUUGAAUCAUCUUGAUUUUGGCAAAGCAGUUCAAAUAAAAAAAAAAAGAAUAACAACCCAAACUCAGUCUGACGUAUCGAAACAGCGAUAAAUAAUGAAGAUGAAAAGUUUUGAAGUAAUAACUGAUUGUAAAGAAAAUUUUCUUAGCCGCAUAUAGCAAUGGAUUCAGUGUGAAAAACAUGCUAUUUGCAACUAUCAAACGGUUAUCCUGCCGCAUCUACGCCUACGCGGUGACAAGCCUGAAGAUUAAAUCCAGCAAGGACAAUAUUCGCCCGAGAAAGACACAAGACCGAUCGUCAUGAAGGACAAAACUGCAAAUGAGAUGAAUCUUCAGUGCCGGGAAGAAAAAUGUCUGUUCGAAGGCAAAUGGGGCCGUUCACAAUCCGGGCUAGAAGCAGGAACUACUUCCUGUCGGAGACUUAAUUCAGUUUCUAUGACGAGUCUGUAUUUGAAUAUACCGUAUUCAUACCGAGAAUAAAAUGUAAAUUGAAAUAGUUUUCAUGUACUUUUAUUAUCAUCAUGGAACUCAUAACGGAGAAGGCACGCGAUGAAAGAUAGUUCAUUAUCAUUAGGAUGGUUUAUGGUUUAUGAUACUCUUCUCAGACUGUGAUUUUCUUCGACGCAGCAUACGCAUUGUCCUGCCGAAAAAAUGCUGGCGGUUCGGCUACAUCAACUGUUUGUGAUCAAUUCAUAUAUAAUUACAACGUAAACUUUUAGCUUACAUGUAAUGGCCAAUUAAA